rnacentral:rRNA from 1 species
GUGUCAGCCGCCGCGGUAAUACGUAGGGUGCAAGCGUUGUCCGGAAUUAUUGGGCGUAAAGAGCUCGUAGGCGGCUUGUCGCGUCUGCUGUGAAAACCCGGAGCUCAACUCCGGGCCUGCAGUGGGUACGGGCAGGCUAGAGUGCGGUAGGGGAGAUUGGAAUUCCUGGUGUAGCGGUGGAAUGCGCAGAUAUCAGGAGGAACACCGAUGGCGAAGGCAGAUCUCUGGGCCGCUACUGACGCUGAGGAGCGAAAGCAUGGGGAGCGAACAGGAUUAGAUACCCUGGUAGUCCAUGCCGUAAACGUUGGGAACUAGAUGUAGGGCCUGUUCCACGGGUUCUGUGUCGUAGCUAACGCAUUAAGUUCCCCGCCUGGGGAGUACGGCCGCAAGGCUAAAACUCAAAUAAAUUGACGG